AGAGUUUGAUCCUGGCUCAGGAUGAACGCUAGCGGCAGGCCUAACACAUGCAAGUCGAGGGGCAGCACGAUUGAGCUUGCUUAAUUGGUGGCGACCGGCGCACGGGUGCGUAACGCGUAUGCAACCUACCUUAUACUGGGGUAUAGCCCGGAGAAAUUCGGAUUAAUCCCCCAUAGUAUUAUUGAAUGGCAUCAUUUAAUAAUUAAAGGUUACGGUAUAAGAUGGGCAUGCGUCCCAUUAGCUAGAUGGUGAGGUAACGGCUCACCAUGGCAACGAUGGGUAGGGGGCCUGAGAGGGUGGUCCCCCACACUGGUACUGAGACACGGACCAGACUCCUACGGGAGGCAGCAGUGAGGAAUAUUGGUCAAUGGGCGCAAGCCUGAACCAGCCAUGCCGCGUGCAGGAAGACGGUCCUAUGGAUUGUAAACUGCUUUUAUUAGGGAAUAAACCUCUUUACGUGUAGAGAGCUGAAGGUACCUAAUGAAUAAGCACCGGCUAACUCCGUGCCAGCAGCCGCGGUAAUACGAAGGGGGCUAGCGUUGUUCGGAUUUACUGGGCGUAAAGCGCACGUAGGCGGAUCGAUCAGUCAGGGGUGAAAUCCCAGGGCUCAACCCUGGAACUGCCUUUGAUACUGUCGAUCUGGAGUAUGGAAGAGGUGAGUGGAAUUCCGAGUGUAGAGGUGAAAUUCGUAGAUAUUCGGAGGAACACCAGUGGCGAAGGCGGCUCACUGGUCCAUUACUGACGCUGAGG
rnacentral:rRNA from 1 species